rnacentral:rRNA from 1 species
AUUGAACGCUGGCGGCAGGCCUAACACAUGCAAGUCGGGCGGUAGAGAGAAGCUUGCUUCUCUUGAGAGCGGCGGACGGGUGAGUAGUGCCUAGGAAUCUGCCUGGUAGUGGGGGAUAACGUUCGGAAACGGACGCUAAUACCGCAUACGUCCUACGGGAGAAAGCAGGGGACCUUCGGGCCUUGCGCUAUCAGAUGAGCCUAGGUCGGAUUAGCUAGUUGGUGGGGGAAUGGCUCACCAAGGCGACGAUCCGUAACUGGUCUAAGAGGAUGAGCAGUAACAGUGGAACUGAGACACGGUCCAGACACCUACGGGAGGCAGCAGUGGGGAAUACUGGACAAUGGGCGAAAGCCUGAUCCGGCAAUGCAGGGUGUGUGAAGAAGGUCUUCGGAUUGUAAAGCACUUUAAGUUGGGAGGAAGGGCAGUAAAUUAAUACUUUGCUGUUUUGACGUUACCGACAGAAUAAGCACCGGCUAACUCUGUGCCAGCCGCCGCCGUAA